rnacentral:rRNA from 1 species
AUUGAACGCUGGCGGCAGGCCUAACACAUGCAAGUCGAGCGAGCGGCGGACGGGUGAGUAAUGUAUGGGGACUGCCCGAUAGAGGGGGAUAUCUACUGGAAACGGUAGCUAAUCACGCAUACUAUCGGAUAACCCAUAUGGGAUUAGCUAGUAGGUUAGGUAAUGGCUCACCUAGGCGACGAUACCUAGCUGGGCUGAGAGGAUGAUCAGCCACACUGGGGCUGAGAAACGGUCCAGACGCCUCGGGAGGAAGCAGUGGGGAAUAUUGCACAAGGGGCGCAAUCCUGAUGCAGCCAUGCCGCGGGUAUGAAGAAGGCCCUAGGGUUGUAAAGUACUUGCAGGCGGGAGGCGUUACCGACAGAAGAAGCACCGGCUAACUCCGUGCCAGCAGCCGCGGUAAUAC